rnacentral:lncRNA from 1 species
CUUCCAGGUCUACAUUCUCAAAGGUUUCCCACCACUGUAACCAAUGCAAACAGCAUCUGUGCAAGGAAAAGGCAUCACAGAGAAUUUUGUGCCUGUGUAAGAUUUAGAGCAAAAGCACAAAACAGAGGAGUUCAAGCACAUUUGAGGAAGAGGUGUUUUGAGAAAUCUGUUGCAUUGUAGAGCUCUGAAAGUGAGUACAGUAAGAAGCAGAAGACAUAAAGAAAUGGGUAUUUAUGGGAAAACAAUUUCAAAAUGGUGUAUCUCAAAAUUUGCCUGGUAGUUCAGUGGGUUCACUGUCUUCCUUAAUUCUUUUGGAAAGAAAGUGCCAGAGCAGUGGGCUGAACUCACCAAAGAACAGGCUUUCUUCGACAUAUACACUCUAUCCACCCUGACCUGUCACCAGGACAAUGAAAUUGCCUCAGGAAAUCUGUGUCAUGUAUUAAAGAGAUAAACAACUGCAAGAUGUCUCUUUCAUUUCAACUGGCCAAAAAGGAGACAAUGCAGACUGAUCACCAAAUACUUUUUCCAGCCUUUAAGAUAAGUGGGGCUAAGAAAUAGAAACUUAAAGGAGAGGAGGGGGAGUAUGAAGCGAUGUUUAAUGCCUUUGGCAUUAUUUCUUUUAGCAGUGAAUACUAAACGAUUUUCAAACUGAGAUCAUAGUUGAACAGGCAGAAAAAGAAAAUGUCAUUUUGUCUAUGAAGUUCUCAGAAAGAUGAACCUGUCAGGAGACAGAGAAAUAGGUCACAAGCAAGUUAAUGGAAAGUAAUAAAUGGAAUACAUGGUGCCGCAAUGCUUCAUCUCAAUUAAAAGUUCACAUGCCGAAUGCCAUUUAAACUGACAGAUACUCAGCUCUUAUCAGCCUGCAUAUUUAGAUUCUUUGCAUUUAUAAAGGCUGUUGUUUAUUCCACUGGGUAGUCUGCGGAAUCCUCCUGUUGCUUUUGUUAGUCAAUAAUAAUUGAAGUAAAAAGUAGUGAAAUGCCAGGAUUCAUAGGAGAAUGUUUCAUGGGAGGAUGCAUCUCUAUUACACAUGUUCAGGUGCUUUAGAAGAAACUGAUGUUAGAGAAACAUGUCACUAGACUGACAUGAACUAACCAUCACUCUUUGACCAAUAUUACCGUUUCAAGAGGCAGCUCCAAUGCACCUUUUUAGCAGCUCAAGACAAAAAGGAGAGGUUUGGAAGGCAAUAUAGAGAGCAACAUAUUUGCAUGAUAUGCAGCAGUGCUGCACUCCACAUUGUGCUAUAGAGCUGGGAUGGUAAUAAUGAACUGCCUGAAAGGGCUGUACAUACUAACUGCUGGGUUAUAGCUUCAUCCUUGUUUUACUCUGUUGGAAGAGGUGGAUAAUUGUUUGUAGAGAUUACUUGAGCCACUUGCAGGUGAGACGGAACUGUGUAGCUUUUAUGUGGGAGAGAUGACUUAAAACUGAAGAUGAGAAACAGAAAGAUACCAUAGGUAGUACAGUACCUAGAGUUAGGAACGUGGCUGCAGCAUCCUGAGGUGAAAAACGUUAGGCAUCAGAAGGGUGCACUUUUGGGAUAUAUAUGUAUGUAUAUCUGAACUCUCAUUCUCCCCAGCUUGGGUAUCUGACUCGGAGCUCCUUGUUAAAUAAGUCGCUCCUUUCACUAGAUUAAGCACUUCACAAAACUCCUUUGCCUCAAAGUGACAGUGAGAAUCAUCAUCCAUGUAACUUCUUGCUCGUCCUCAAACUUGCUCAGGCAAUGAGUGUUCUGCUUUGUAGUCCUCCUCAAGAACCAGGAUCUUAGUCAUACCCUCCUUUCAGCACAAGGUACCUGCACUGUGUCAGAGCUGGGGGAGCAGCUUUCACUGCUCAUGUUACAGCUGUGUUUCUGAGCUGGCCAGGCUGCUAGAGGCAGCAACCAGAGGCAGCAUGACACUGCAGGAAUGGUCCACUACUACAGGGUGAAAAGGGUGACUACGGUGCUCUCUAUAGUGACGAGUAGAUGGGGGCUGCUGGAGUGCCACGAGCAGACUGAAUGAAACAGAAACACACUCUGUGUUUGGUCGCUUUACUGACCGAGAGCAGAGCUGAGACAGGUAUUAGUCAUUUCCUUGCUCAGACUAGAAGGUUGUAUGUGUAUGCAGAAGUCUAAACACGGGUGGAAAAUGUUUCCACUGGCAAAAUCUUAAUGGGAUGCUUCAUUUUAAGCAGACAUUUCUUUCUACAACUGAUCAUUUUAGCUCUUUCUCCCUAUCUGGCUGCAGAAAAUACAUCUCAGUGGCUAAGUGCCAAAUCAAAGAAAAUAAAUAACAAACCAUGACACUCAUCAGUCAACGAAAAGCAAGCUGAUUCUGCUGGGGCUCAAGUUUACAACAGACCCAAGAUUUACACUGCUCUGACAGUCAGGCUGGCAAAUGUCAAAGCCAGGAAUAAAGGAGAAAAACUUGUACAACCUGUACUAUUUGCACAAGCACACAGAUGUGUUUUCAGAGAGGUUACAAAUGAAAAGGGGAAGAGCUGUUCAUCCCUAGCUUACAAAUAUACCAGUGUGCUCUGAUACUAUGAGGAUCAAAAUAUCUGUGUUUUUUAUUUGAAAAAAAGCAAGAUCAAAAUCCCAUAACCAAGUGUCAAAGUCUGGCCCUAGUUUUGCUGCUUACUUUUAACCCUUCCAGGUUGUGUAUGUUCUGAGGAUCUAAGCACUAAAGAUUUUGUACUAAAUUAUGACUGAUUCUUACUCAGCGUAGAUAAGUAAUUGGGCACCCGGGUGCCUGCCCCCUCUCCACACACAAACCCUUUGGCUUAUUUCUGUUGUCAAAAGCUUGAAAAGGGUUAUUUUAAAAACGUUUCUAAAUGUAACUUGUAGUCAGUUAAUAUUUAAGUACUGUUUACAUUGCACACAAUGAAAUGGGAGCAUGCUUUGGAAAGAUCUUAUUGACUGUGCCUGUCUGCUAGCUUAAUGUAGUUUGAUUUUGAUAUCAUGUAAGUAGAACACAGUGAUGAAAAACAGCUUUUCUAAUGAAGGGUUUUUUUUUUUUUCACUGCUUGCUUAUUUUGGGACACAAAAGCAUGCAUCUUUCUAUCCCUUUCUCUUUUACAGAACAUGACUGCAAAAUAAGUAGCCAAGAAGACUUUUAUUCAUGUUGUAAUUAAAAGAAAUCUAAGUAACAGACUAUAACUUUGAUAUUGCUAAACCAUAGGGGGCAAAUUUUAAGCUUGCACAUGCUCUCAACACAGACAUCAGUGGAGAAAUGAUGAACACUCUAGGAAGAAAGAACUUCAUGCAGCAAUAAGUGACAUAGGGGAAAGCAGCGGACCGGCUGGACCCAGCUGCCCUGCGGUUGCUCAGAGAGGUGCUCCAUGCUGUUUCACUUGCCUGACCCUCUUUAGCAUCCAGGCAGAUCAAACUGUGCUAUGACUUGUAUAAAGAGGAUUAAUGUUACAAAGAGAGUUGUAUUAAGCUACCAAAUUCAUUUCUGUGUGACUCUGGCUUUAAGUAAAGGUUUCUAGGGUGAAAGGCUAAUGUAUUAACUCAUUGCAUCAAGAACAUCUUAUUAUGCAGAAGUUAAUGUUAAUACACUCAAUUAACUACAUUUUUACAGAUCUGCUGCUUUCAUGGAUAUUUUUCCUUGUGCAAAUUGUACUAUUUGCAUCUUUUAUCUAAUUUAACAUGUAGUUUGUGUCAAAAAUUCCUUUGGAAGAAACAACAAUUAGGCUGUCAUGAAAACACAGCUCACCAAGAAUUCAAGGAAUGUAAGUUGUGUCAGAAUUGAAGAGGAUGCUGCUCCUGGCCCCAGUGGGCCAAAAAGCCAAGAAAAUAAGUUACCUGCUGCAAUUAUCCUCUUCUCCUCUCAGCACAUGCAAGCACAUCUGGCACUGACUCUGGCCUCUAUACAAUGUUUUUAUGUCACUGUGUGGAAUUUAAAAAAAUGCUGUAAAUGUACUGAGUAAGCACUCCUGGCAUAGAUAAUAGUUUGCUACACUUCAGCCUCAAAGGUUUCAAAGGAUGACUCCCAGGCUAUGUCUGAAGUAUAUUGUGCUGAAGCAGCUGAGAUAGCUCAUGGAUAUAACUGUUUUUCCCAUCCUGAGAGGAAUGCAGGAUGAAGUGUGAGGAGCCUUGAAGAAGCCUGUUGCUCACAUUUAGAUAAAUUAAUGAUGUACUCUGUAUGCAAACAAGACAAGAUUAUGUUUCAGCAGUGAUGGGCCUGAUUAGUUUUAAAUGAUGAUGAAGGGACCACUUUGGUGGUUUGCACUGAGCUUUUAAAGCCAAGUUUGCAGUGAGCUAGUUGAGGUAAAAAUAUGUUUUCAUUCGUACACUCAGCUAUGCAGUGGUAUGUAGAUACUGUAUAAAUCUGAAUUGUGCAUCAAAUGUAUGCUACUGAUUGUCCUCAUGAGUCAUUCAGGGAGCAAAUGUGCCUCCCUUCAGGCUGUACACUUGCUUCCUUCCCAAGAAAAUCACAAAUCUGAAAGUGGAAGCAGUGCCUGGGCCUGUGUCUGUCCUGGACACAUCAUGAAACAUCUAAAAGCUUUAUACAUAGGAGCCGAGAAGUGCCUCUGGCUCAGUUAACUUAGACAUGGCCGCUGCCAUUAUCCUGUCAGCUGUACUCUCAAAGGAGGGGAGCGUCUGUCUUUUUGCAGUGGUAGCUAUAAGACAGCUCCUAUUUUUUUGAGAGCAAUAGAUGCAAUGCAUUAAGAGAAUGAUUUUAACACGGAUACCAUACUGUUAUCUUUUCUUGAUUUGUUAGCUCUCUAGAUACAGAUACUGCCAGUCUGAAAAAAAAAAAAAAAGCUGUUACUUUUUGUGCAUAGAAAAAGCUUUCAAUUUCCAGAUAGUGAAAGAAAAAUGGGAAUGUUCAACUCUGCCUAGCCUUUUCAAGGCACUAAAACACAUAUUACUUUUCAAUGGUGUGAAGACUUACUAUUAGGGAAGGAUUGGUUUUGACCGUGACUACAAAGAAUCAACUCAGAUGUGAUUCUUAAAGCCUAAGUAUCUAUUACCUUCUUGUCUAGAGACAGGUGAGAAAUAUAUUUUUCUCCUAUGAGAGUACAAAAUCUCAAAAUUGUUCUAAUUCCCCCAAGACUUCUAUAAAAAUCACAUUAAAGUACUGUGACAGGGCAGAUACAUGUUACUAACCCACUGUGAUCUACUUUAUCUGGAAAGAUAUCUAAUUUGUCAUUUCAAUAUAUAGGUUUCCCUAAACAUCCAUGAACUCUUCCCAUUAGGAGUGAUCAUAACACCUCUCCCCUGUAGACCCCCCUGAGCCUCAAAAGUGUAAAGGGCUUCGUGGACACUCUCAUAACAUGGCUGGUGAUGCUUUCUCUUUCCUGCCCACAGGAAAUUGAGUAAAUGUAAUAUCCUUUAGACAGUGAACUUUUCCAAACUCUGAACUAUACAGACAAUUCCUACUUAAGUCUUCAGGCACAGAUCAGAUGGGUAUAUAGAGGGACCCGUGUGAGCCUUGUUUCCUUCUGAAACCAGUAAAAAGGAGGAGCUAUGAUUCAAUAGGAUAGUGGCAAGACAGACCCAGCCCCAUGUCCCCCAGAUCAGCUGCAGCACACCUCUCACCAGUGCCUGACUGACACUAGAGCAGUGGCACAAAAUGUUGUUAAUAGCAGAGAAUGUAAGUCAAAAAUGAAAGAAAAGUAUUCUUUGGUCUGCUUAGAACCACUACCAUUUUCCCUCUCCCUAGCAUUAGAAGUGAACUUUACUAGCUGAUGCUAACCCUGUCCCACUCCCAAACCCCAGUGUUCUGAACAGCGUCAGUUCAUCCUGUUCUUUCCCAGUAUAUCAUGUUACCUUUACAACUGAGAGAAGGAUCUGUUUGCUUUUCCCACUGAGAUACAAGGACAUAAUGUUUAGAAUGUAGCAUUAAUUUGCAUUGGUUGCAGAUUACAGUCCAGUUAGGACAUGGAGAGAGGAGUACCUGUGCAAAUAAAUCACAAAUGAUGUGAUAAAUACUUUUAGAGAAUAUCAUAUAACAGCGUGUCAAAGUUUUCUUCUUAUACAGUGCAUUAAAAGGAAUCUUACCUUUAACUACUGAGAAAAUAAUUUCUCCUGAUUUUUUAAAGCCUUAUCCAGUCCUCUUAACAUAAUUUCUUGAGCUUUGAACUCAAUGAGUCUUCUAAUAAUGUCCUUAAAUGAGGGAAGGAGGUAAUUUUCUCUCUCGCUGCCUUUAGGGGAUCAUCAAUCAUGCAUCACUCAUAAGUGUUAGCAUUGCACCAUGGCUGAUUUUUUUUUUUUUUUUCCAAGAAGCCUAAUUGUGCAUGGAGGAAGUGCUGUAGAGUAAAAGGUUCCAUUUAUAAAUUGCACAUUCUUUGUGUAGAAUUGCUGUACCUCCUGUAGGGCAAUUUUCAUCUAAAACCUUACACUGAUUCAGAUCCCCAGCCACAAUAACUUUUUUUACAACCUUUUCUCCACCCACUGCCACCACACAUUUCUAUAACAAGCAAAUCCCAUGGAUGAUAUAAGGACAGAUUAUAAAUAAAUUGUACUGUGAUAAGGUCACAGAAGAUGCAUUUAUUAAAUCAUGUGAUGACACAAGAAUUGAGCCAAGCUACACUUAUCUAAACCCCAAUAAACUGGCAUCAAAAUAUUAAGAACUGGUUUCGCUGAGCCCAAUGAUUCCCAAACAUUUGCUUAUUCAGCAGUUUCUGAAUUAAAACACUAAAAUUUGUAUGCUAGACUUUUCCACUUAAAAAGUGGAUUCGAUCACAAAAAAUGUGAUGGCCUUCAUCUGAGCCUCCAACCGAUCUUCCCACAUUGCAAAAAUCAGUAUUUGCAUUUAUUUGCACAUUAGUAACUGCAAUUAGUAUCAGGCAAAAAUUAUUAAUUCCAAUUAGCAGUAGGUGAUUAAGAGAAACCAAGUCCGAAUACUAACCAUACAAGAUGGCAGUAAAUGUACCUGAAGACGUAAUGUGAAAUCAUCUCUGAAUCUCAUUGUCUGUUGAAAAUAAAAAUCUUCUCCACGCAGGACAGCAUUUCUUACCAGCAAAUAAAUAAGAUAUGGAGCAAAGUGCUUUCCUGCUUACUUACAGAAUUCUGUUUCUUGAUUACAACAGUGAGAUGUCUCCACUCAGCACUCCAAAGCCCUGCAGCAUAAAGGGCUUCCUCAGAUUCAACACUCCCAAGGAAAGUUCUCUGACUCUUUCAUCCGUUUUUCAACUUUCUUCUUCCUCUACUCUCACACACCUUUCCAAUCAAACAACGCUGUUUGAUUGGAGUGUUGUUCACUCCUAGAAUAAACAUUUCUAAAUGGCCUUACGUGAACAUUUGUUGUGGGCAGCCCCAUGCCUAUGUUUUGGCACAAGAGACACUGUAGUUUCAUAAAGAUGCUUAUUUGUUUCUAAAAGCCCAUGGAAAAGGACUGCAUAUUUUCUCACUGUGGUUUCACCACACUUUAAAUCAGUCAUUUGUGAAGAGUAUACAGUAGCAGCAGCAGGGAGCAGUCUACACUUCAGGCUAGCAGUCUCACAGAAAUACAGCGCAAAUGUGUCUUACCGCUUUCUCUUCAUUCACGUAAGACUUGAAGAACUGGCGCUGCCUCACGCGUGUCAGAAGACUGCUCUGCAAAUUCAUUCUGAGUGAAAAAGAAAAUAUAAGUUAAAAGCACACGCUCACCAUGUCUGUUUUUUCACCUUCUGAACUCUAGAACAGAUUUUUAAAGCAAUCAGCUCUAAGUGCAAU